GCUCGACGCAAAGCCGAGAGAACGAUGAUUAAAUUUCGAUCGUUCGUUGACGAUCGAACGACGUCAGUCGAACUCUACGGGAAUUGGGAAACGAGUGUCGUAUACGUUAUUCCGUUCACGAAACGAAUCCGGAGAAUGCCGGUAACGAGUUCGAUUAUCUCGGUUGCCAUGAGUCAGUUUUGUCCCGAAGCCGGUCCCUCGGUGUUGCGGGCCAGCCCGUCCGCUUCGUACGAGCCUCGAAACGUAACGGGUGUCUGGAUUCCCAGGAGGUUUUCUACCCCCUUUUCAAGGCUCAUUGCUAUGCACCGCUCGAAACUCUGCUAACGACCUUUGCACGCCGAGAGCCCCAACAUCCAGCCGACUUUUCGAUCCGGAACGAGCUUAUCGAGCCGCGCGAUUGCGUGGAUUUGAAAUAUUCGAUAUCGUAGCCUGGAUUUUGUUCGAUCCCAGCGGCUUAUUUUCAAAACGACUUAAAUCCUAGUUUAAAAAAGAAUAAGGAGAGAAGAAAUAAAAGCGGCAGCGGGCAGAAAGGUUCUUCGUGUGUGAUUUCGCACUGCAGCAAUCAAUAACAGAGAUUAAUCAGUGGACGAGAUUUGGCUCACUUACCCUAUAUUGCGAAAAAGACGAAGAUUUCUUCGAGAAACGAUUGUUAGGUUACCUAACAGAUAACAGAAAGAUAAGAGAAGUUUUCAAAUUUCCUUAACUUUUGCAGAUUUUUCAAACGACCAAAUACAGCGGAGUCUCGAUUAUCCUAGUCCCUUUUAACCAAAGUUUCGUAUUAUACGAGGUGCUUUGAACUAUGCCAUAACCUCAUCCUUUUUCAAAAAUUUAACUUUCAACGCGACUACGCAAAUGUAAAUAGAGAGGUACUGUGAAAACAGUUGAUCAAGCUUUCAACUGAUUAAAUAAUUAAUUCAACUUAAAUACACGCGCAACAUUACAUUAUCAAAAUGUUUUCUAAGAUUUUAUUCUAUGCUUUGUACGGUUUAUUCCGUCUUUCUACGAUUUAUGAACGCUAAUAGACCUAUCCGUAUUAUCCACGUUUUCGAUUAUCCGAUGUAGGACCGCAUCAUCAAAGUUAUACCGAACUAAUAAAUUCAGUCGCCCAACUUCGACUUCGAGCGGUGCAUAGCAAUAAGCCUUAACUCGACGGAAUUCCUUAGCAACCAACAAACUGCAAGUUCUUUUAAACAUUGUUUGUCGUGUCGUGUCAUACGUCUGAUAGAAAUAACGUCGCGCUCAUAACGGAUGGCGAAAUCCCCGAAGCAAAGGGAGGGUCGGUAUUUUCAGCGGAACGCAAACACCGGCAAACCGAACAAAUUGGCAAACAGUCAGCGAUGUGCAACCGUGCGAAGCAAUUACGGAUUUUGCGUGAACGACGCGUGCAAACUCUUUAUACACGCGCGAAAAGGACCGACAGAAUUUCCUUGAGCCACGGCACAAUGGCGUAGCCCAGUGGCUUUCCUAUUAAUUCUGAAAAAAAA